rnacentral:rRNA from 1 species
AACGAACGCUGGCGGCGUGGAUUAGGCAUGCAAGUCGAACGUGAAAGGGGCUUCGGCCCUGAGUAAAGUAGGCAAACGGGUAGAGUAACGCGUGGAGAACCUGCCCGGAAGCGGGGAGUAACACCUCUAACGAGGUGCUAAUACCGCAUGUGUCUGCGUGAGCGCAUGCUCGCGCAGGUAAACGUAGGCCUCUGCUCGCAAGCUACGGCUUCC